rnacentral:rRNA from 1 species
AUUGAACGCUGGCGGCAGGCCUAACACAUGCAAGUCGAGCGGAUGAAGGGAGCUUGCUCCUGGAUUCAGCGGCGGACGGGUGAGUAAUGCCUAGGAAUCUGCCUGGUAGUGGGGGAUAACGUCCGGAAACGGGCGCUAAUACCGCAUACGUCCUGAGGGAGAAAGUGGGGGUUCUUCGGACCUCACGCUAUCAGAUGAGCCUAGGUCGGAUUAGCUGGUGGGUGGGGUAAAGGCCUACCAAGGCGACGAUCCGUAACUGGUCUGAGAGGAUGAUCAGUCACACUGGAACUGAGACACGGUCCAGACUCCUACGGGAGGCAGCAGUGGGGAAUAUUGGACAAAGGGCGAAAGCCUGAUCCAGCCAUGCCGCGUGUGUGAAGAAGGUCUUCGGAUUGUAAAGCACUUUAAGUUGGGAGGAAGGGCAGUAAGUUAAUACCUUGCUGUUUUGACGUUACCAACAGAAUAAGCACCGGCUAACUUCGUG